rnacentral:rRNA from 1 species
AGGAUUAACGCUGGCGGCGUGCCUAACACAUGCAAGUCGAACGAGGUAGCAAUACCUAGUGGCAGACGGGUGAGUAACGCGUGGUCAACCUACCGUUGAGUGGGGGAUAACUAGCCGAAAGGUUAGCUAAUACCGCAUACGUGUCCGAGGGGCAUCCCUUGGCCAUAAAAGGAGCAAUCCGCUCGAUGACGGGACCGCGUCCCAUUAGCUAGAUGGUGGGGUAACGGCCUACCAUGGCACCGAUGGGUAGCUGGUUUGAGAGAGCGACCAGCCACACUGGGACUGAGAAACGGCCCAGACUCCUACGGGAGGCAGCAGUGAGGAAUUUUCCGCAAUGGGCGCAAGCCUGACGGAGCGACGCCGCGUGUGGGAAGAAGGCCUUCGGGUCGUAAACCACUGUCGAAGGGGACGAUAAUGACGGUACCCUUGGAGGAAGCCCCGGCUAACUACGCGCCAGCAGCCGC